rnacentral:rRNA from 1 species
AUUGAACGCUGGCGGCAUGCUUUACACAUGCAAGUCGAACGGUAACAGGCCUUCGGGUGCUGGCGAGUGGCGAACGGGUGAGUAAUGCAUCGGGACGUACCCAGAGGUGGGGGAUAACGCAGCGAAAGCUGUGCUAAUACCGCAUGUGAUCUGAGGAUGAAAGCGGGGGACCGAGCAGCAAUGUUUGGCCUCGCGCCUUUGGAGCGGCCGAUGUCGGAUUAGCUAGUUGGUGGGGUAAAGGCCUACCAAGGCGACGAUCCGUAGCUGGUCUGAGAGGACGACCAGCCACACUGGGACUGAGACACGGCCCAGACUCCUACGGGAGGCAGCAGUGGGGAAUUUUGGACAAUGGGCGCAAGCCUGAUCCAGCAAUGCCGCGUGCGGGAAGAAGGCCUUCGGGUUGUAAACCGCUUUUGGCAGGAACGAAACGGUGUCCGCUAAUACCGGGCGCUAAUGACGGUACCUGCAGAAUAAGCACCGGCUAACUACGUG